rnacentral:rRNA from 1 species
UACGAAGGGGGCUAGCGUUGCUCGGAAUUAUUGGGCGUAAAGGGCGCGUAGGCGGCCCUCUAAGUCAGAUGUGAAAACCCGGGGCUUAACUCCGGAGGUGCAUUUGAAACUGGAGAGCUCGAGUGCAGGAGAGGUAAGUGGAAUUCCUAGUGUAGCGGUGAAAUGCGCAGAUAUCAGGAGGAACACCGAUUGCGAAAGCAGCUCGCUGGGACGGUACUGACGCUGAGACGCGAAAGCGUGGGGAGCAAACAGG